AUCGCUUCUCGGCCUUUUGGCUAAGAUCAAGUGUAGUAUCUGUUCUUAUCAGUUUAAUAUCUGAUACUCUGGCUUCUCUUCAGUUCGGUUCCAGUUUUUUUCUUUUUCAGGCGGUUCCGGCUUUUCCAGACGUUCCUGGAGUUAGAGAGAAGGAGGACCUACCAUCCAGACGACCUUUGAGGACCCUUU